AAAACGACCGGUCCGGAGAUGUUGCGCGCCAAUCAUGCCGCCAAAAGUUUACGCCGUGGUUUACGCAUUGUUUGUGUAAUUUAGUCGGGAUCACUACUUUACCCCGUGGUCCAAACCGUGCUGUGCUCUCCGUUGCAGGCUGCCAGUGAUAAAGGUGCAAAGUGAGGUGAUCUUACGACGUGCUGCGUUGACCGCCAGCUAGAGUUGCAUUGUAUAAACUUGAGGAUGUGUUACAUGUUUACCCUGUCAACGAUUCAUGUGGCAGUGAAUAUAAUGUCAUUAUUUUAAAUAUCGCCAGCCAGCUGCUCUCAUGUCACGCUGUGUGCAACGAAACUUCGUGAGUGCGUUCGUGCUGUGUAGUGUUCUUGAGAUAGUCCAUUGCACUUAUUCGAAAAUGGUUCUUUGGUUCUUUAUUCUAUGACGGCUCCUCGAUCGAGAACAAGCUACAAUGGAUACAUCAACAUCUCUAACCACGGUCGCCCAGAAAGUUCCUUUCGGUGACCUGUGCAAGCUCUGCGACAAGAUAUCCGGCAAGCAGGACAGGAGCGACAAGCGGAACCUGCUGGAGAAGUUCAUCGCGUAUUGGCGCGAGUUUCACGACAAACUGCACGCCGCGAGCGGAGUUCAAGCUGCGGCCGAUGAUUCCUUCUUUCCCGCUAUGCGGCUUCUGUUGCCGCAUCUGGACAGAGAUCGACCGGCGUAUGGAAUCAAAGAAGCCACUCUGGCCAAACUCUAUAUCGACGUUCUCGCCCUCGGCAAGGACAGUCCCGACGCUCAAAAGUUGCUGCGCUACAGAACGCCACACGUGGCGAAAGCAGAGGCUGGUGACUUCGCCAGCGUCGCAUAUUUGGUGCUGCGAAAUCGCUGCCCGACUAAAGGGACGCUCACCAUAGCCGACGUCAAUCAGCUUUUGGAUGAAGUGUCUGAUGCACACGCUCACGGUGGCGCCGCAGGCAGUCGACGGACGAGAGAUGCGCUAUGCACGCUGCUGCGCCGUACUUCUGCCGCAGAGCAAAAGUGGCUGGUAAGAAUGAUUCUAAAGGAGAUGAAAAUGGGCAUGAGCGAAGGGAGUAUACUUUCCUGCUAUCAUCCGGACGCGCAGGACGUUUUUGACAACAGCAGCAGCCUCUCGAAGAUUUGUCGAGAACUGAAAGACCCGAAAAUUCGGCAGCACGUUGUUCAGGUCACACUGUUCAAUGCCGUGCGACCAAUGCUGGCCGAGAGAGCGGAGCCUCGUUCUGUCGAGCGUCUCUUGAAUCACGAGCCCUUCUUUGCCGAGACCAAGUUUGAUGGCGAGCGGCUGCAGGUGCACAAGGAUGACUCAGAGUUCAGGUACUUCACACGGCGCAGCCAUGACUAUAGUUCGGGCUUCGGAGCCACUGCUGAUGAAGGAUCUUUGACACAGUACAUAGCUAAGUCAUUUCGAAGCCAUGUAAAAAGUUGCAUCUUAGAUGGAGAGGUAAUAGGAUAUGACCCCAGGAAUGAUCGUCUUGUUUCAAAAGGUUCUCAUGUAGACGUGAAAAGUUUAACAGAGAGUUCAUCAUUACAGCCCUGCUUUGUGGCCUUUGAUAUACUCCUCCUGAAUGGACAGGUAGUCACCAACAAGCCUCUUCAGGAGAGAGUCGGGCUUCUUGAUCAGGCUGUAUUGGAAGUUCCUGGCAGAAUACUGAUCUCUAAAAGGCAGAAGGGUUCGACACGAGAUGAUGCUGUUCGUCUUCUAAACCAAGCAAUUGAAGACCAAGAAGAAGGCAUUGUUCUAAAAAGGCUUACUUCUGUUUACAAACCUAAUGCAAGGAGAGCUGGCUGGCUGAAACUCAAGCCAGAGUAUGUGGACAACUUAGUUUCAGAUCUAGACAUGCUUAUUCUCGGUGGAUAUUUCGGAGAAGGGCGUCGCAGUGGUAUUGUCUCUCACUUUCUCUUGGGUGUCGCCAGUGGAGAUCGCGACGACGAUGGUAUGCCACGGUCUUUCUGGUCGGUAGCAAAGGUGGGCUCUGGGUACAGCAUGAAAGAACUGGAUGACCUGCUUGCCAAAUUGACAACAAAAUGGAAAGUUUAUGACCCAAAAAAACCUCCAGGAAAGCUUGUACUUGCACAAGGCCUUAAAGAAAAACCAGACUUAUACCUCGAGCCAUCAGACUCUGUAGUACUUCAGAUAAAAGCUUCGGAGCUCGUUCGCAGUAGUCAGUUCAGGACAGGUAUAACAUUGAGAUUUCCUCGUGUGGCUGCCAUUCGCCAUGAUAAGCCUUGGCAAGAUGUGCUGUCGUAUUCAGAGCUUUGUGAACUAGAGAAGGCAGCGGGUGGGAAACUGGCUACUGCCACAGUUGGCUAUGAUGAGGAUGAUGGUGGUUCACCAGCAAAAAAGAGGCGCAUCGGAGCCAGUGUAAAGGCAUCUUUAGGCACACACUUUCGGCCAGCUAAUUUAUCUGGUGCAGUAAAGAAGCGAAGUAUUCUUCAGGGAAAGGAGCUGUGCAUUCUGACAGGCUGUGGAGAUGUCACAAAGCAGGAGCUGGAAGUCCAGGUCGAUGAAUUGGGAGGCACCUUCGUCCAAAAUCCCAGCAAGGAAACAUUUUGUGUUGUUGCAGAGAAGCUAAACUUCAGAGCACGCAGUAUCAUCAAAUCGAGAAAAUGGGAUGUCGUUAAAGCAGACAAGUUUCUUGCACUUCUCAAUUCCCCUGAGCUUCGGCCAUGGGAGCCAGCAGACCUGUGGUGCUCCUGCACUGAGACAGAAAACCGGCUGAAGAGCUUGUUUGAUGAAUAUGGUGAUAGCUACACGGCCCCUGUGACUGCAAGUUCUUUGCAGGAACUCUUUGCAACCAUUCCCAAAGAGGCGUGGAACCAUGUUGAUGACUUACCAGGGUUCAUUUUUAAUUUUGAGCAGGAGAACUUUGACUCUCGGCCAACGUGGGGCCUAUUCAGAAACUGCACAUUGAGAUUGAGCGAGGAUAGUAAAUUAAAUAGAUUAAUUAUUAGAUUGCAUGGCGGUAAAGUUCUGAACACUCUAGGAGAUGGGGAAGUUGGUAAUUCCGGCUUUGAUUUGAAUGACAUGAAUACUUCGGAGGAAUUGUUGGAAGUGGAUAGUGAAUGGAUUGAUGAAUGCAUUCGAGCUGGUGAACUGCCUCUUUUCUCUUGAGUGGCUCCUUCUCUGUCAUAGUGCCUGGUGGAAGCUGGGCAUGGCUAUAGCAGCUGUGUAGCCAAAGCAUUAAUGUAUCACUAUCUGCAAAUUAAAAUGGCUCCUGGUACAAUGAAAUCUUGCACUUUGCUGUACUUAGAAACAGCAGCCCCUCUUGUGUGCUUGCACUGUGGAAAAGAAUACGACUGUGCAGCGCUUGUAUAUGUAGAACUGCAUGUUGAUAAAAGCACAAUUGUAGCUAUAUUUACCCAUUGGCCUCUGCUAUCGUAAUAGUGGGUCUAGACAUGCUUUAUUCUUUCAGCAUUAAGUUUACUUGAGCAAAGCUGUAGCACUAUGUUCUUUAGCUUCUACCAGUCCUAUGGAGAGAGGUGGCAGUACAAUGUCCAGUAUAUGCAGUCGAACCAUUCAUUUCAAGAUUGAAACUGUGUUGCCGUUUGCAAUUGCAAGCUACACUUCGCUGUGUUAAUAAAAUGAGAUUUUGUACAUGAGCUGCCGAUCUUGGCAAAUGAAUUGAGCAAAUGCACCUUUUGCAAUUUUUAACUUAACCAUGUUGUAUUUGCCUUGUCUUUUAUUUAUACAUUUUAGCAUGCAGUGAAUUUGUGAAGUGAUAAAUGAAGUGAUUGUUUGUUGCUGUGCUUCUAGCUUUGUUUUUAUGAUUGUGAGAAUGAAGUCAAGUUUUUUUAAUGAUAUCACUGUUUUGUGUUUUCCUGCUACUCUGAUGAACUUUGGGCUGUUUUCUGCACAGAAUUGCCCAUAUGCUGUCACACUUUGUUCCUAGUGCCUUAUAAUGUUGACUUUGACUGUUGACUUUUAACUUCGACAAUCUGUUGAGAGUAGUAGUGGUACAAAUUAUGCAGAGGCGUAACCAGAAAGUUUUUUGGGGGUGAGGGGGCAGGUGGUAUCCUGGUACACAGGAAACACGGGGGAAGAAGAGGGGUGUAUGGUGAGCUCCCCUUCCUGGCUAUGCACCUGUACUUGUGUGACCUUCAGUUCCCAGGAAGGGGGCCCAACUUUUGGCCACACCCCAUACAGCCCCCCUCUCUCAAUUUCACCUCUGCCUCAGCACAAUAAGCAUUUUGCAGCAGCUUCAAACUAGUCAUUUUGAAAUUUACUAAGAAACUGAAAUGGAGCUGUUCAGAAAUAUAUCAUCAGGAAUGAUCGAGUACAACACUUGUAAUCACUAUUCUGUGUCCAUCUUGCUCACUGCACUGAGCUAUGCAAUCGGGCUACUUGUUACGAUUCCAUGGGUACAGACAACCUGAACUUGACAUGCACACAGGAGCAAAGAAGCACUCGUGUUUGUUUUUGUAUCUAUCAAAUGUGUGCUGCCUGCGAUCAUGUUAUAGUAGUCACAUGGGAGGUCUAUAGAUGACCAAAUGCCAUGAGGCAAGGAAGGCAGCAUCAGUGGACCUGCAGGCGGACAGUAGUGUGCAGUAUGCAUGGUAAUCCAUUAUUUAAAAACGCCAUGCCAAACCAAAAACAUUAAUUGCAGAUAAAGGUAGCUAAUACAGAUUCACAGCAACUGCCGGUGCAUUGCUAUAAGCACCAGAGAACAGAAUUACAUGACUAUCUAUAUUAAAACACAUUAAACCUUGCCAAAGUGCAAUGUGCUGUUAGCUUUGCUUUCUUUUUUUUUUACAUUAACAAUAAUUGGACUUCUCAAAGUUCAUUAUAAUUUCGACUGAUAGACUUAUUAAAUGUGAGGCAAUUGUGCUUUAUAAAUGAACAGCUUUUUUAUUGCAAUAACAAUUAUAUGGAUGCAGACUUUAUAAAUGUGAGGCAUUUGUGCUUUAUAAAUGAACAGCAUUUUAUUGCAAUAGCAAUUACAUAGACUGUCCAUGCGAAUUUUCGCAGUCGGUGUCGCCGCGAUUUUCCGUAUAACGUGCCACAACAUUGCGUGCUGUAUGCUAAGGAGAUUUCAGAGGUGAGCUGAGAAGGUUGGUGGCUUGAUGUGCACGCAAUGUUUGAGGUCACGUGAUGCAGCGCACACUAGAGGGAAGGGGGCCACAUGCGAGAGCGUGUCUUCUUCUCUAGCCUGACAGUGACAGUGCAUGGCACAGCUGAGCGCCCCCUGCACCCUGUUUUGGAAGUUAUCUGCGGCAGGUGCAAACUCUUGGCAAGCCGAGAUGGCUGGUGGUUUCAGGUGCGCUGUCUUCCCGUGCACGUUGAGGGUCACGGAAUCUCAAGCUUCUGAGACUCGUUACUUCGUUUGCUCGCCGUUGCCGGCGCUCUUCUCGCGCCAGUGUUGUGACAACGAGUUUUCGCAGUCAUUUAGUGAUAUCUGUUCAUGUUUGCCUGUGCGUGCUUGACACCAUGCUUGUUAAUUUAAUUAGUAGGUGAAUGUUCACUGAAAUUUAUACGGCCAAUAAAACUACGGGAACCUUA